rnacentral:rRNA from 1 species
GAUGAACGCUGGCGGCGUGCCUAAUACAUGCAAGUCGAGCGAACGGACGAGAAGCUUGCUUCUCUGAUGUUAGCGGCGGACGGGUGAGUAACACGUGGAUAACCUACCUAUAAGACUGGGAUAACUUCGGGAAACCGGAGCUAAUACCGGAUGAUAUUUUGAACCGCAUGGUUCAAAAGUGAAAGACGGUCUUGCUGUCACUUAUAGAUGGAUCCGCGCUGCAUUAGCUAGUUGGUAAGGUAACGGCUUACCAAGGCAACGAUGCAUAGCCGACCUGAGAGAGUGAUCGGCCACACUGGAACUGAGACACGGUCCAGACUCCUACGGGAGGCAGCAGUAGGGAAUCUUCCGCAAUGGGCGAAAGCCUGACGGAGCAACGCCGCGUGAGUGAUGAAGGUCUUCGGAUCGUAAAACUCUGUUAUUAGGGAAGAACAUAUGUGUAAGUAACUGUGCACAUCUUGACGGUACCUAAUCAGAAGGCCACGGCUAACUACGUG